rnacentral:rRNA from 1 species
ACGGGUGAGUAACGCGUGGGAAUCUACCUUUUGCUACGGAAUAACUCAGGGAAACUUGUGCUAAUACCGUAUGUGCCCUUCGGGGGAAAGAUUUAUCGGCAAAGGAUGAGCCCGCGUUGGAUUAGGUAGUUGGUGGGGUAAUGGCCUACCAAGCCGACGAUCCAUAGCUGGUCUGAGAGGAUGAUCAGCCACAUUGGGACUGAGACACGGCCCAAACUCCUACGGGAGGCAGCAGUGGGGAAUAUUGGACAAUGGGCGCAAGCCUGAUCCAGCCAUGCCGCGUGAGUGAUGAAGGCCCUAGGGUUGUAAAGCUCUUUCACCGGUGAAGAUAAUGACGGUAACCGGAGAAGAAGCCCCGGCUAACUUCGUGCCAGCAGCCGCGGUAAUACGAAGGGGGCUAGCGUUGUUCGGAAUUACUGGGCGUAAAGCGCACGUAGGCGGACAUUUAAGUCAGGGGUGAAAUCCCGGGGCUCAACCCCGGAACUGCCUUUGAUACUGGGUGUCUUGAGUUCGAGAGAGGUGAGUGGAAUUCCGAGUGUAGAGGUGAAAUUCGUAGA